rnacentral:rRNA from 1 species
UACGUAGGGGGCGAGCGUUAUCCGGAUUUAUUGGGCGUAAAGCGUGUGUAGGCGGUUUAUUAAGUUUAUGAUUAAAGCCCGAGGCUCAACCUCGGUUCGUCAUAAAAACUGGUAGACUCGAGUGUGGUAGAGGCAAGUGGAAUUUCUAGUGUAGCGGUUAAAUGCGUAGAUAUUAGAAGGAACACCAGUGGCGAAGGCGACUUGCUGGGCCAUUACUGACGCUGAGACACGAAAGCGUGGGGAGCAAAUAGG